GAUAUUUGACAAUGGGGGCAACACUGAUCCAGCCAUGCCGCGUGUGUGAAGAAGGUCUUCGGAUUGUAAAGCACUUUAAGUUGGGAGGAAGGGCUUUAGGUUAAUACCCUGAAGUUUUGACGUUACCAACAGAAUACGGACCGGCUAACUCUGUGCGAGCAGCCGCGGUAAUACAGAGGGUGCCAGCGUUAUACGGAAUUACUGGGCGUAAAGCGCGCGUAGGUGGUUCAGUAAGAUGGGUGUGAAAUCCCCGGGCUUAACCUGGGAACUGCUUUCAUAACUGCUGAGCUAGAGUACGGUAGAGGGUAGUGGAAUUUCCUGUGUAGCGGUGAAAUGCGUAGAUAUAGGAAGGAACACCAGUGGCGAAGGCGACUACCUGGACUGAUACUGACACUGAGGUGCGAAAGCGUGGGGAGCAAAC
rnacentral:rRNA from 1 species